rnacentral:misc_RNA from 1 species
GGCGCUAGUGUCUACUGACGGGCUGUUUACCUUAAAUCCAUCUUCAGGGCCAUGGGUGAAAACACUACCGCAAAAUUCAAAUACAGUGCAAGAGUGGAAUCAGUAGCUGAUGGUUCGAACAAGUUCACCUCACCGUGUGUUUGCGACAAUGAGUGAUUCAAUUGUUGUUUCACCAGUAGGAAGCAUAGAUGGUACAGACACUACAGAUCAUGCUUUCCUUGAUUAUCGUCCAUCGGCAAAACUGAUUACACAAGCAGCUAGGUGCAUGUCGGUGUCAGUUCUCAAUGACAAACGAUUGGAGCACUCUGAUGAAGAAGUUAUACAGUUGAGGAACAAAUUCCUGAUUCUUACUAAAAAUAGAGCAAUUUUUAAGCAGCUAGAACGAAAUCAAAAAUGGACACUUGCAAUCAUAUGUAUUGUCUACUUUGUUUGUUUCUGUACAAUUUCUAUGCUUUCUACGUUCUUUUAUGAGAUAGCCAUUUUGCAUAAUAUCUCAACCAGCACCUAUGGUCUUAUUUUCAGUAUUCAUCCUGCUGUGGUAUUUUGUACAUCUCCAAUUUUUGGUCAUAUUACACCAUCUAUAGGACCAAAAUUUAUGUUUACGACAGGUGUAUUCCUCUGUGGAAGCUGUAAUCUCUUAUUUGGAACCCUUGAACAUGUUCAGGAUGACACACAAUUUACAAUCCUGUGCUUUGUUGUAAGAGGAUUGGGAGCUGUUGGGGCUUCAGCUUUCUCUACAGCUGGGGCCACCUAUGUUGCAAAUUUAUUUCCAGAUAAAAUUAGUGUAAUUAUGGGAAUUUUGGAAACUUUCAUUGGCCUAGGGUUUUCCAUUGGGCCUCUACUGGGUGGAUCCUUAUUCACAUUGGGAGGAUUACAACUUCCUUUCUAUAUCAUGGGUUCAGUAAUGCUACUGAUCUUACCAUUCAGCAUUUUCUGUCUUCCCGAAACAAAUCACGUUUAUUCCAAAGGAAAUCUUGGAACUAAAGUCUUGGCCAUCAUAUUCAAAAUACCAGCUGUUUUCAUCAUUUGCGUAGUGGUGGCUGUAUCUUCAAGUGCCUGGAGUGUUUUAGAACCGACCUUGGUCAUUCACAUGGAACAGUUUAAAUUGGGCCCGAUGCAGCUGGGUCUUCUGUUCCUGAUUACUUCAGUCAGUUCUGCCAUUUCAAGUCCUUUUUGGGGCUGGUUAGUAAGCAAGUACAACCACGGAACUUUGAUGAUGAUUAUCGGGUUGUCUGUCACAGCAGUUGGCUUACUCCUACUUGGUCCUUCUCCAAUUUUACCACACAUGCCAAAUGUGUUAUGGCUCAACAUUGUAUCCCUUGUUCUGAUUGGAACAUUUGUGGCAUUGGCUUAUGUACCCACAUAUCAAGCUUUACUUGAACACGCAGUGCAAGUAGGUUGUGAAACGGAAAUGAGUACAUACAGCAUCAUUGCCGGUCUGUGGGCGUCAAUGUACUCAUUAGGGGAGGUUUUAGGCCCAUGUAUUGGCAGUAUUCUAGUCGAUGUGUAUAGCUUUCCUCUGGCGAUAACAGCUAUCGGAUUACUGAAUUUUGCAGUCGCUCUCAUAUUGCUGUUUUACGUGGCAUUUUCCGCCUCUCGUACGAAAAAUAAUCCUCCUCUUUCCAAGUCACCACUUUUGAUAUCGGAAGACGAUGCAUCCAGCAAUUCCAACAUAACGCAAGUUGGAAAGACCGCUUCAAUUACGAUUGGUAUCAAUGGCGAACGUGAACGACUUAUUCAAGACGCAGAGUCGACUCAAGCAUACGGAACAACUUGCUAAUAUUUUUCAGAUAAUUUCGUGUUACAGUUUAGACUCAUUUUGCCUUAAUAUGCUAACGACAAAAUUUAUGAGAGCCAAAUAAUGUUCAAUAAGUCUGUAAAAAUGUUAAAUGGAUGUUAAAUUUCUGGUCCGAAUUUCUACUGAAGAUAGUUUUAAUCUUUGUCAGCCUUAGGUAUAUUUUUGUGUAUGGUGUAUGUCAAUUGUGCAUUUGUUAACUCCUCGCCUUCUUGCUGGAUAACAUGUAGUCGAUUAAAAAGCAUAUAAUUGUGUUUCUUUAAUUUUUUUAUCAAGGACACAUCGAGGAACACCCGCAAUCUGUUGGUUUAGAAGAAUUAGAAAUUUAAAAGAAGAAAUCGUUGGUGGUUAAGCAUACAAAGCAGGAAAGAGUAUUCUGCCUUGUCCAUUUGAUCGGGUUUUAAUUCCGCCGUAUAGUUUUCAUAAUCCUUUCACAAUUUGGCACGUGUUUCUAUAACACUUAUUUAGCUCAGAAUGCAAAGGGUGCAAUAUCCUACGCUGUAAAAUACUGAAUUUAAAAUUUUAUUCUUUAAAAUUGCUAAACGUAUUCAUGCCCACAAAAUUCUUAACUUAUUUGCUGCUGUCCGUUUUCAGAAUCAAGUUUUACUACGCUGCCUCAAUAUAAAAACUAGUUGACGAUGAACACGCAAGUUUUUCCAGCAAAAAAAAACUUCUCCUUUACUAUUUCAAUCUUUUUUAGAUGCUAGAACGUGCGUGAAACUUUCACUUCACUCCAAAAUAUCCGAAACAAAAAAUAGCCUCGGCACUGUACUCAAAGACCUUCCCCCCUCAGGGUUUGACUCUAUAGCACCAUUCCUUAGUAUAUAUAAGACGGCAAAGUCCUUGAUCAUCGCAGUCGCUACUCACAAGCUUUGGACACCGGCAGGCUGGCCCACACAAUCUCUGGACUAUAUAUUCAGAUCCUCACAAUUCCCGCGCUGUUGGUGAUUCUGAAAUGAAUCGGUGACUGGCGACUGCACUACGUUUUUAUUAAUUACAGUACUGCAGUCGCCAGUCACUGAAUCCUGUUUAUGACAUUCAGCUUCUUCACUUAAUUAUACCUCCUAAUUUUUUUGUUGUCUACCGAAAUAAAAGUAAAAGGACAAUAAACGAGAGAUGUAAAAUGC